UUCAAGAAAUGUUGCCAAAUAAGAAACUACUCAAAUACAAACACAAGACUACAUGCUGAAACUGGCUUAUAAACCCAAGCCAGCUGGCCGCUCUAGACAGAGUCUUAGGAAAAAAGCCUUCUUAAUCUAAUUCAUAAAUGGAAUUGCCGGGCUUAACUGGCUUAUUUUUUUGCUUUUGUUUUUUUUAAUUGCUUUGAACUUUGCAUUGCUGCCUAACUGUGACAACGUUGAGAUGAGAGUCAAGAGUAAAGUAAGAGGGGACUGUUCACAAAGCAGUGUUAUAACCAUCCCUGUGAAAGAGCCUGGAGUUCGUUCCAGAGAGUACCUCCAAGAAGAGAGAUGCUGUGCUAGACAUGACCCAGUCCAUACAUCUGGGGAGGAGUAUCAGCUAAUAUUGUCCAGCAGUUCAAGAACCUCAAGGUUCACUAAUCAAAGACCUCGAGGUUAACUAUCAAAGAACCAUGAGGUUGACUGUCACUGGCACAGAGGUUGAAUAUCUCAAUGUCUGGAGGGUGUGACGGGAGGCAGCACCAAUGCCUGUGAACAAAGUGGAGAGCCAUCCCUGAGAGCUCCAAGUCUGUCCUCUGGAUGGAGAAUUAAAUUGCACCAGCGGCGGAAGUGCCCAGGGAAGUGUGCUCUGCAAAGGGACCUUCCACUACUGGGAUAACUAGUGACCAUGAGGAUGUGGGUUGAUCCC